UGAGCCCAACAGUUAGCCUUUCGGAACCCUAAAUCGCUCGCAGGUCUCAUCUUCUCCCCGCCGCCACACAAUCCCCCUCUCCCCGAAAUCGCUCGCGCUCGAAUCUCUCCCAAAUCUCACGACCCGCCCUCAGCCUCGUCCGCCCGCCCGCCAUUCCCCAAGCCGCGCCUCGCUCUCCUCUCUCCGCCGCCGGCUCCCGUCCUCAGAUCCACACCCUUCCCUCCCCAAUCUCCACCGACGCCGCCUCCUCGUAUGCUGCGCAGGAGGCGAGUGAGUGGCGGCCCCUCAGGGGCAGGCGUAUCACGGCCGACGACGGCUUGGCCGAGCUCGAGCCACUAGGUGCCCCCGGCCCAUGCGCCGCUCAAGGGCUCCGCGGUGGCACUGCGGCAGGCGCGUGGGCGCAGAACCGCGGCGCCGUGGCCGAUCGGGCCGUGGGGCAGAUCCUAGGCGCGAGCGCCUUGCUACCUUGCCUGCGCGGGCACGCGUCUGGCCGGCGGCGCCGCCCAACUCGGCGUCGUCAGUGUCCUUCUCCUCCAGGUGCCGUCGCAGCCUCCGCAACUGCGGCUGCAAGGCGGAGGAGGCGAGGGACUGGGCGGAGCUGCCGCUGGAUGCCAUCUCCACCAUCCUCCGCACGACCAGAUCGAGAUCCUCGUGGGGUCCAGCCUGGUUGCCAUUCCUAUGGCAGUGCGAGGCAUUCUGGGCGGAGUAAGCCGAUGACGAUGUGCUCAAGCUCCUCAGCAAACAGCGAGACUUCGAUCCCAUCCCCAAAUUUGAUCCCACUGAGGCAGCUGGCCUUCCUCCUCUCCACCGCUGCAUUUGGCACAUGCUCGUGUGCCUGACAAAACGAUGAAGCAAUGGAUGAAGGUCGGAGGAGAAGACGCCGUGGCGCUCGGCGCUCAGUGUUUCUUGGAUUUGGAAUAAUUUAAUUUAGUUGUCUCGCUUAGUAUUUCUUUUCCUUCCUUCUAAAACUAUAUACCAUCAAUUUGUGUUGGCAUUUAUACCUUGCUGAUACAAUGCUUCUUGUUUGUUUUUUUUUCUGGGCCACAUGACGACUACUACAUUACUCUGUACUAUAAAUUUCCUUGAACUUAAUUGAUAGUUUCCUCAUUUGUUUGCAUGCACAAGAAUUGUGUGACCUAGCCACCUCACUGGCGAAAAGGACAGGCAAGGAAAGAAGCAAGUCUAGCUCCUGCAACUCAAAAUAUAUUGGUAUAUUUUAGCAGGAUUUGAUAUUAGAAGUAAGCUCAAGUGCUCUUUUAUAUAUGAGUUUAUUGCUAUGCAGUAUCUGCUAUUGAGUGAAAAGAAGCACAUGCAAGGCAUGAUGCCUGUGCAGAUUUUUAUCAUGAAUGCUAGCUAGGCCCUUGCAUCAUUUUGUAUAACCUAAGAUUCAAUAGCUUACAUGACAUUGUAUAUAUUCUGAAUUUGUUUGUGUUCAAGUUAGGUUCCAAGUCCUUAUAGUUGUAAUUUUAUCUUUGCUCUAUAUAAUUUUGUCCUUGCUCAAUGAAAUAACAUGCCAACACUGCUGGCUUUAUUUUGGGACAUACGCUAUAUAUAUGUGUGCAGCACAACAACUUGAGUAGUGCAGUAUAUACUUCAGGGGUGAAGGAUAACAUGUACGAGAUGCUUAAAUUUGUCUACAAAUUUUGUUCAUCCAAGUGUAGAGACUAAUGUAUUUCUGUUAUGAGAGUGACUGCAGCCACUAAUAUUCAUAUUUCUGAUAGUUGAAGGUUACCAAGGGAUCACAAUCUUCCCAAGGUGCAUCAGGUGGGAGGUCUUAGAGGUGGCAUGAUGGUUGAUCAACAAGUGGAUCAGUGCUCACGGAGACUUCUAUUUUGGGCGGAGACUUCUAUUUUGGGCUGUGCUCAUGGACACUUUUAUUUUGGGCAGUGCUUAUUUGGAAUAUCUAGGCUGGCUCCCCUUAUUUUGUAAAUGUGGCUGCUUGUACCGUGGCCGGUGACAAACCCAACAUAUGAUCUAGCUAGCUUGACUUAGCACUGUGAUAACAAAUGAUGUCUAUGAUGAAGCUUUGCUAUUCAACCAAUUAUAUAUGUAUUGGGUUCAUAUGAAAACUCUGAGCUCUAUUAUUUUAGUCAAUUCCAUGUUUGAUAUUUGUUGGCUUCAAAUGAAAAACAUGAUCUAUAUAUCUUUAUUCAAGUGUGCUUGA